GGUUAAGUUAGAAAGGGCGCACGGUGGAUGCCUUGGCACUAGGAGCCGAUGAAGGACGGGACGAACACCGAUAUGCUUCGGGGAGCUGUAAGCAAGCUUUGAUCCGGAGAUUUCCGAAUGGGGAAACCCACCACUCGUAAUGGAGUGGUAUCCAUAUCUGAAUACAUAGGAUAUGAGAAGGCAGACCCGGGGAACUGAAACAUCUAAGUACCCGGAGGAAGAGAAAGCAAAUGCGAUUCCCUGAGUAGCGGCGAGCGAAACGGGACCAGCCCAAACCAAGAGGCUUGCCUCUUGGGGUUGUAGGACACUCUGUACGGAGUUACAAAGGAACGAGGUAGAUGAAGAGGUCUGGAAAGGCCCGCCAUAGGAGGUAACAGCCCUGUAGUCAAAACUUCGUUCUCUCCUGAGUGGAUCCUGAGUACGGCGGAACACGUGAAAUUCCGUCGGAAUCCGGGAGGACCAUCUCCCAAGGCUAAAUACUCCCUAGUGACCGAUAGUGAACCAGUACCGUGAGGGAAAGGUGAAAAGCACCCCGGAAGGGGAGUGAAAGAGAUCCUGAAACCGUGUGCCUACAAGUAGUCAGAGCCCGUUAACGGGUGAUGGCGUGCCUUUUGUAGAAUGAACCGGCGAGUUACGAUCCCGUGCAAGGUUAAGCAGAAGAUGCGGAGCCGCAGCGAAAGCGAGUCUGAAUAGGGCGAAUUGAGUACGUGGUCGUAGACCCGAAACCAGGUGAUCUACCCAUGUCCAGGGUGAAGUUCAGGUAACACUGAAUGGAGGCCCGAACCCACGCACGUUGAAAAGUGCGGGGAUGAGGUGUGGGUAGGGGUGAAAUGCCAAUCGAACCUGGAGAUAGCUGGUUCUCUCCGAAAUAGCUUUAGGGCUAGCCUCAAGGUAAGAGUCUCGGAGGUAGAGCACUGAUUGGACUAGGGGCCCCUACCGGGUUACCGAAUUCAGUCAAACUCCGAAUGCCGAUGACUUAUCCUUGGGAGUCAGACUGCGAGUGAUAAGAUCCGUAGUCGAAAGGGAAACAGCCCAGACCGCCAGCUAAGGUCCCAAAGUAUACGUUAAGUGGAAAAGGAUGUGGAGUUGCUUAGACAACCAGGAUGUUGGCUUAGAAGCAGCCACCAUUUAAAGAGUGCGUAAUAGCUCACUGGUCGAGUGACUCUGCGCCGAAAAUGUACCGGGGCUAAACGUAUCACCGAAGCUGCGGACUGUUCUUCGAACAGUGGUAGGAGAGCGUUCUAAGGGCUGUGAAGCAAGACCGGAAGGACUUGUGGAGCGCUUAGAAGUGAGAAUGCCGGUAUGAGUAGCGAAAGAGGGGUGAGAAUCCCCUCCACCGAAUGCCUAAGGUUUCCUGAGGAAGGCUCGUCCGCUCAGGGUUAGUCGGGACCUAAGCCGAGGCCGAAAGGCGUAGGCGAUGGAUAACAGGUUGAUAUUCCUGUACCACCUCCUCACCAUUUGAGCAAUGGGGGG
rnacentral:rRNA from 1 species